UACAGAGGUCCCAAGCGUUGUUCGGAUUCACUGGGCGUAAAGGGUGCGUAGGCGGUCGGGUAAGUCUGAUGUGAAAUCUCACAGCUUAACUGUGAAACUGCAUUGGAUACUAUUCGGCUUGAGAGUUGGAGGGGGACGUGGAAUUCUUGGUGUAGCAGUGAAAUGCGUAGAUAUCAAGAGGAACACCAGUGGCGAAGGCGAGUCCCUGGACAACUUCUGACGCUGAGGCACGAAAGCUAGGGGAGCAAACAGG
rnacentral:rRNA from 1 species